UACGGAGGGUGCAAGCGUUAUCCGGAUUCACUGGGUUUAAAGGGUGCGUAGGUGGGCAGGUAAGUCAGUGGUGAAAUCUCCAAGCUUAACUUGGAAACUGCCGUUGAUACUAUCUGUCUUGAAUACCGUGGAGGUGAGCGGAAUAUGUCAUGUAGCGGUGAAAUGCUUAGAUAUGACAUAGAACACCAAUUGCGAAGGCAGCUCGCUACACGAAUAUUGACUCUGAGGCACGAAAGCGUGGGGAUCAAACAGG
rnacentral:rRNA from 1 species